rnacentral:rRNA from 1 species
AACGAACGCUGGCGGCAUGCCUAACACAUGCAAGUCGAACGAGACCUUCGGGUCUAGUGGCGCACGGGUGCGUAACGCGUGGGAACCUUCCCUUAGGUUCGGAAUAACUCCCCGAAAGGGGUGCUAAUACCGGUUAAUGUCUUCGGACCAAAGAUUUAUCGCCUUUGGAUGGGCCCGCGUUGGAUUAGCUAGUUGGUAGGGUAAAAGCCUACCAAGGCGACGAUACAUAGCUGGUCUGAGAGGAUGAUCAGCCACACUGGGACUGAGACACGGCCCAGACUACUACGGGAGGCAGCAGUGGGGAAUAUUGGAAAAUGGGCGAAAGCAUGAUCAAGCAAUGCCGCGUGAGUGAUGAAGGCCUUAGGGUUGUAAAGCGCUUUUACACGGGAUGAUAAUGACAGUACCGGGAGAAUAAGCUCCGGCUAACUCCGUG